rnacentral:rRNA from 2 species
GGAUGCGAUCAUACCAGCACUAAAGCUCCGGAUCCCAUCAGAACUCCGAAGUUAAGCGUGCUUGGGCGAGAGUAGUACUAGGAUGGGUGACCUCCUGGGAAGUCCUCGUGUUGCAUUCC